CUUAUGAUCACCUUUACCAAUUGAACAGGCAAUUAAGCACGUGAAAAUAAUCCCCUUUAACUAUUCCAUCCAUAACCGGCAGGAGCGAAAUUCAGGAAAAAGAAUUAUAGGAAUAGAUUGCAGCGGAGAACAGAAGGAAGAAAAGGUCAACUAUUUUAAUUAGGUGGGUCGGGUCGGGUUAAAAAAAAAAUUUGGUAACUUUACGUUAAAUUUGGGAAUUGAGGUUGCUUUUGGAGAUUCCAUCCAAUUGAGGGGUAUUUUUUUUUUACUUUCGUCACAGCAGGCAGGGUAGAAAUAACAUCAACUUAUAACGGGGGAUAAAUUUGACUAAUAAAUGAGAGUAGAGGCGUAUUUUUGAACCUUUUCCCUAAAAAUUACAUAGGUGUAAUUGUAUUUUUUGAUUUGGUGUUUCCGCCCCACCCUCACAGAUCGCGCAGCUAAAGAUUUCGGCUGUCCCACUAUAGCAUUUGCUACAUGAAGCAAAACCCUAGGCAUUCUAAAACCCUAUAUAAGAAUGUCCCAACCUAGCCGUUUUCCCAAUAUUAGUCCAUGAAGGGGAAAAGGAAAGAAAGAAAGAACCUAUCCCUUGAUAUUUCUUUUCUUCUAUAUGUCUAUUGAUUUUUAAAAUAAAAAAAUGUUUCGUCACUAUUGUUUCGUUUUAUCGUACUGCAUUGAAAAGGUAAUAAGGUAAAUCCAACAUAUUUUACCUAAAUUUCAGGCUUGCUCUUUGAUGAGAAUAAGCAGACGGGCGGUCAGAACCUGAUGCUGUGUUGACUGUCUGCAUAACUUCCUUUAAUGGAAUAUCUCUGAGAGCUAUAGCUAUUCUAUGUAGUUUCUUUUCAGGCUGUCAAUUUCUUAUUUUCAUCUGUGUAUUAUGAUGAAGCUGUGAUAGUCUUUAUUUACUCCCUUCAUCAAUUUGCAGUGAUGACUUGCUAAAUUAUGUCUGGACUUAUGAAAGAUGUUCAUGAUUAAUUAAAUUGCAAAUUCUGAGCA